UAUUGCCAUCCUUUCAUGGCAUUAGUAUACUUAUGUAAUAGACCCUCGAUCAGGAUCUGGGAUUUCAUACAUUGUAUAACCCCGACCAAGUGCAACACGUCUCUUACCAUCUGGGGUAAUAGCUAAUUGUCCUCUAAAAUAUUUUCAAUAAAUAUUAAUUCAUAUAACAAUA